UCAAACUUGGUCAUUUAGAGGAAGUAAAAGUCGUAACAAGGUCUCCGUUGGUGAACCAGCGGAGGGAUCAUUACUGAGUUAUAAACUCCAAACCCAUGUGAACAUACCUUUGUUGCCUCGGCGGCGCUCUCAGGGCAAAGUCUAUCGUGGGCCAGCUUACCCUGAACCUACCCUAUACUUACCCUGAAGUGCUCACCCUGUAGCUACCCUGUAGGGGGCGAGGGGAACCGCCGGAGGACCAAACCAUACUCUUGUUUUUAUGUGGCACUCUGAGUACUACUAUUAAAUAAGUCAAAACUUUCAACAACGGAUCUCUUGGUUCUGGCAUCGAUGAAGAACGCAGC
rnacentral:misc_RNA from 1 species